UGAAGAAUUUAUCCAACGGCGGGGGAUAGCCGGCCCAACGGCCGGGUAAUACCGCGUACGACCCUCGGGGGGCAUCCCCUGAAGGUGAAAGCCGCAAGGCGCCGAUGGAGAACUUCGCGGCCUAUCAGCUAGUUGGUGAGGUCAUGGCUCACCAAGGCGACGACGGGUANCUGGUCCGAGAGGAUGACCAGCCACAUUGGGACUGAGACACGGCCCAGACUCCGUACGGGAGCAG
rnacentral:rRNA from 1 species